rnacentral:rRNA from 1 species
GAUGAACGCUGGCGGCGUGCCUAAUACAUGCAAGUCGAGCGAACGGACGAGAAGCUUGCUUCUCUGAUGUUAGCGGCGGACGGGUGAGUAACACGUGGAUAACCUACCUAUAAGACUGGGAUAACUUCGGGAAACCGGAGCUAAUACCGGAUAAUAUUUUGAACCGCAUGGUUCAAAAGUGAAAGACGGUCUUGCUGUCACUUAUAGAUGGAUCCGCGCUGCAUUAGCUAGUUGGUAAGGUAACGGCUUACCAAGGCAACGAUGCAUAGCCGACCUGAGAGGGUGAUCGGCCACACUGGAACUGAGACACGGUCCAGACUCCUACGGGAGGCAGCAGUAGGGAAUCUUCCGCAAUGGGCGAAAGCCUGACGGAGCAACGCCGCGUGAGUGAUGAAGGUCUUCGGAUCGUAAAACUCUGUUAUUAGGGAAGAACAUAUGUGUAAGUAACUGUGCACAUCUUGACGGUACCUAAUCAGAAAGCCACGGCUAACUACGUGCCAGCAGCCGCGGUAAUACGUAGGUGGCAAGCGUUAUCCGGAAUUAUUGGGCGUAAAGCGCGCGUAGGCGGUUUUUUAAGUCUGAUGUGAAAGCCCACGGCUCAACCGUGGAGGGUCAUUGGAAACUGGAAAACUUGAGUGCAGAAGAGGAAAGUGGGAUUCCAUGUGUAGCGGUGAAAUGCGCAGAGAUAUGGAGGAACACCAGUGGCGAAGGCGACUUUCUGGUCUGUAACUGACGCUGAUGUGCGAAAGCGUGGGGAUCAAACAGGAUUAGAUACCCUGGUAGUCCACGCCGUAAACGAUGAGUGCUAAGUGUUAGGGGGUUUCCGCCCCUUAGUGCUGCAGCUAACGCAUUAAGCACUCCGCCUGGGGAGUACGACCGCAAGGUUGAAACUCAAAGGAAUUGACGGGGACCCGCACAAGCGGUGGAGCAUGUGGUUUAAUUCGAAGCAACGCGAGGAACCUUACCAAAUCUUGACAUCCUUUGACAACUCUAGAGAUAGAGCCUUCCCCUUCGGGGGACAAAGUGACAGGUGGUGCAUGGUUGUCGUCAGCUCGUGUCGUGAGAUGUUGGGUUAAGUCCCGCAACGAGCGCAACCCUUAAGCUUAGUUGCCAUCAUUAAGUUGGGCACUCUAAGUUGACUGCCGGUGACAAACCGGAGGAAGGUGGGGAUGACGUCAAAUCAUCAUGCCCCUUAUGAUUUGGGCUACACACGUGCUACAAUGGACAAUACAAAGGGCAGCGAAACCGCGAGGUCAAGCAAAUCCCAUAAAGUUGUUCUCAGUUCGGAUUGUAGUCUGCAACUCGACUACAUGAAGCUGGAAUCGCUAGUAAUCGUAGAUCAGCAUGCUACGGUGAAUACGUUCCCGGGUCU